rnacentral:rRNA from 1 species
AUUGAACGCUGGCGGCAGGCUUAACACAUGCAAGUCGAACGAUGAAGAUAUAGCUUGCUAUAUCGGAUUAGUGGCGGACGGGUGAGUAACGCUUAGGAAUCUACCUUUUAGCGGGGGAUAGCUCGGGGAAACUCGAAUUAAUACCGCAUAAUUUCUACGGAAUAAAGAGGGCUUUUAGCUCUCACUAGAAGAUGAGCCUAAGUAAGAUUAGCUAGUUGGUGGGGUAAAAGCCUACCAAGGCGACGAUCUUUAGCUGGUCUGAGAGGAUGAUCAGCCACACUGGGACUGAGACACGGCCCAGACUCCUACGGGAGGCAGCAGUGGGGAAUAUUGGACAAUGGGGGCAACCCUGAUCCAGCCAUGCCGCGUGUGUGAAGAAGGCCUUUUGGUUGUAAAGCACUUUAAGCAGUGAAGAAGACCUAUUGGUUAAUACCCAAUAGCGAUGACAUUAACUGCAGAAUAAGCACCGGCUAACUCUGUGCCAGCAGCCGCGGUAAUACAGAGGGUGCAAGCGUUAAUCGGAAUUACUGGGCGUAAAGCGAGCGUAGGUGGUUAAAUAAGUCAGAUGUGAAAGCCCUGGGCUCAACCUAGGAACGGCAUCUGAAACUAUUUAACUAGAGUAGGUGAGAGGGAAGUAGAAUUUCAGUGUAGCGGUGAAAUGCGUAGAGAUCUGAAGGAAUACCGAUGGCGAAGCAGCUUCCUGGCAUCAUACUGACACUGAGCUCGAAAGCGUGGGUAGCAAACAGG